UACGUAGGGUGCAAGCGUUGUCCGGAAUUAUUGGGCGUAAAGAGCUCGUAGGCGGCUUGUCGCGUCGGAUGUGAGAGCCCGGGGCUUAACUCCGGGUCUGCAUUCGAUACGGGCAGGCUAGAGUUCGGUAGGGGAGAUCGGAAUUCCUGGUGUAGCGGUGAAAUGCGCAGAUAUCAGGAGGAACACCGGUGGCGAAGGCGGAUCUCUGGGCCGAUACUGACGCUGAGGAGCGAAAGCGUGGGGAGCGAACAGG
rnacentral:rRNA from 1 species